rnacentral:rRNA from 1 species
AACGAACGCUGGCGGCAUGCCUAACACAUGCAAGUCGAACGAGACCUUCGGGUCUAGUGGCGCACGGGUGCGUAACGCGUGGGAACCUGCCCUUAGGUUCGGAAUAACUCCCCGAAAGGGGUGCUAAUACCGGAUAAUGUCUUCGGACCAAAGAUUUAUCGCCUUUGGAUGGGCCCGCGUUGGAUUAGCUAGUUGGUAGGGUAAAAGCCUACCAAGGCGACGAUCCAUAGCUGGUCUGAGAGGAUGAUCAGCCACACUGGGACUGAGACACGGCCCAGACUCCUACGGGAGGCAGCAGUGGGGAAUAUUGGACAAUGGGCGAAAGCCUGAUCCAGCAAUGCCGCGUGAGUGAUGAAGGCCUUAGGGUUGUAAAGCUCUUUUACCCGGGAUGAUAAUGACAGUACCGGGAGAAUAAGCUCCGGCUAUCUCCGUG